rnacentral:rRNA from 2 species
AGAGUUUGAUCCUGGCUCAGGAUGAACGCUGGCGGCGUGCCUAAUACAUGCAAGUCGAGCGAACGGACGAGAAGCUUGCUUCUCUGAUGUUAGCGGCGGACGGGUGAGUAACACGUGGAUAACCUACCUAUAAGACUGGGAUAACUUCGGGAAACCGGAGCUAAUACCGGAUAAUAUUUUGAACCGCAUGGUUCAAAAGUGAAAGACGGUCUUGCUGUCACUUAUAGAUGGAUCCGCGCUGCAUUAGCUAGUUGGUAAGGUAACGGCUUACCAAGGCAACGAUGCAUAGCCGACCUGAGAGGGUGAUCGGCCACACUGGAACUGAGACACGGUCCAGACUCCUACGGGAGGCAGCAGUAGGGAAUCUUCCGCAAUGGGCGAAAGCCUGACGGAGCAACGCCGCGUGAGUGAUGAAGGUCUUCGGAUCGUAAAACUCUGUUAUUAGGGAAGAACAUAUGUGUAAGUAACUGUGCACAUCUUGACGGUACCUAAUCAGAAAGCCACGGCUAACUACGUGCCAGCAGCCGCGGUAAUACGUAGGUGGCAAGCGUUAUCCGGAAUUAUUGGGCGUAAAGCGCGCGUAGGCGGUUUUUUAAGUCUGAUGUGAAAGCCCACGGCUCAACCGUGGAGGGUCAUUGGAAACUGGAAAACUUGAGUGCAGAAGAGGAAAGUGGAAUUCCAUGUGUAGCGGUGAAAUGCGCAGAGAUAUGGAGGAACACCAGUGGCGAAGGCGACUUUCUGGUCUGUAACUGACGCUGAUGUGCGAAAGCGUGGGGAUCAAACAGGAUUAGAUACCCUGGUAGUCCACGCCGUAAACGAUGAGUGCUAAGUGUUAGGGGGUUUCCGCCCCUUAGUGCUGCAGCUAACGCAUUAAGCACUCCGCCUGGGGAGUACGACCGCAAGGUUGAAACUCAAAGGAAUUGACGGGGACCCGCACAAGCGGUGGAGCAUGUGGUUUAAUUCGAAGCAACG